AUUUUUUCUUCCCUCUUGUUUAUUGUUUUUUCUUAAUUGGUCAAAAUAACUGGCACAUUUCAGCUUUAACACAAAUUCUCUUGGAGGGUAAUGGGUAGGAGUAUAAAAUAUGCUUUACUUAACUGAUCUCUCCCUACUAUGAAGCCAUCAAGAGAAAAUACAGAAAUACAAUGUCUGCUUAAUGAACCAAUGGAUGUCUUACCCAAGAACGAAAUGUGUUCUCUGUAUGUAUCAUGUGAUGUUAAAUCACACAUAUUUGGCAUAUAGCAUGAGGCAAUGCAAAACUAUGGCAUCCAAGUGGGUCUUUAACAGAGUACCUACUUCUUCAUUCAGUAGCACAUCACAGAUCCAUUCCUACAUGGAUUUGCUCUUUUCAUAGGAUGCAGCAGAUGCAAAAGUGUGGCAUAUGGAACAGAUGGGGUUGUCACCUGUAGAAAGACUGAAACAAGUUAGAUUUCCCUGAAGAAAUUCAUGCUUGAAUGCUGCUCUCUUGAAAAUGUGUUUUCUCACUGGGAGCUUAUGCCAAGAAAGUCUUCUGCCAGAAAAGGAAGAAGGACUUGUUGCCUGCUACAGCAACAAUCAUACACAAUAGUAACAUCUGUUCCACACAGAACACAAGCCUGCUGCUUGGAGGUUCGGUUUCACUCAAAGGGAUGCCCAUCAAAGACCUUCCCUUAGGUGUCAGCCAAAGAACAAGGGUUUUCUGUGGUCUGUUUAUUAAAGUGCAGAAGAAUAAACCAAGAUAGCGAUAAACA
rnacentral:lncRNA from 1 species